rnacentral:misc_RNA from 1 species
GAUGAAGAACGCAGCGAAAUGCGAUAAGUAAUGUGAAUUGCAGAAUUCAGUGAAUCAUCGAAUCUUUGAACGCACAUUGCGCCCGCCAGUAUUCUGGCGGGCAUGCCUGUUCGAGCGUCAUUUCAACCAUCAAGCCCCCGGCUUGUGUUGGGGACCUGCGGCUGCCGCAGGCCCUGAAAAGCAGUGGCGGGCUCGCUGUCACACCGAGCGUAGUAGCAUACAUCUCGCUCUGGGCGUGCUGCGGGUUCCGGCCGUUAAACCACCUUCAUAACCCAAGGUUGACCUCGGAUCAGGUAGGAAGACCCGCUGAACUUAAGCAUAUCAAUAAGCUGAGGA